AAUGGGAUAGCUGGGUCAAAUGGUGGUUCCAUUCCCAAUUUUCCAAGAAAUCUCCAUACUGCUUUCCAGAUUGGCUGCACCAAUUUGCAGCCCAACCAGCAAU
rnacentral:pre_miRNA from 1 species